CACAUAUAGCACCAAGAUGCAGCUGGCUAUUGCUGUUAUUUCUGUCAUCAGUCUCUUAGAACCCUUUGUUCUAGGGCUUGCGACAUUUUAGGUUAUGUUCUUUGCUAAGAUGUUGCUGACACUUUUUAAUAGAGAGGAAUUUGAUUUCUGUUCCUACUACCAGAUAAUCAGCAGAUCAGUAGAAGAGAGGAACACCACACACAAAUGGAACAAUGACAUCUAUCAUUCUCAUUAUUUCAUGAUGAGCUUUGGAUCACCCCUGCUUGGGAUCCCAGGAACAUCUACAGAGUUGCACCUUACCAGCCUUCUUCUCAAUUGUGGACUCAAACAAAUCUGA
rnacentral:lncRNA from 1 species